rnacentral:lncRNA from 1 species
CUGUUUGUCUUGCUUGCCUUCCUCCUCGUCCUCCUCUUCGGUCCAACCAAAGCCUGCCACUGGUGUUGUCGACGGUGGAGGAGUGCGUGCUUCACCCACAAUCCUCAUUAUCUCCUCAACACUCUGCAGGGAGUAGGUAGGGGUAUCUCUCUUAUAGUACUGCGCUUGUUGUGCUUCAGUUAGCUCCCUAGGCAAGUUCUUCAAGAACCAGGGGUGGUUCCUUAUUUCCCUUAUAGUAAUCCUCUGCAGAUAAGCAAAGUCAACAACCAAAAUAACUAUAAUACAAACAUUAAAUUUUCUUUUUAUCUUUUAAAACGUCCAGCAAUAUAAUAUGCUGUCGUUAGAUAUGCAUAUGCAAUUCUGAGAAGGUUUUCAGUUUACGCAAGUUCAGGUGUAA